GAUGAACGCUGGCGGCGUGCCUAAUACAUGCAAGUCGAGCGAAGCGGGGACGGGUGAGUAACACGUGGAUAACCUCCUAUAAUACUGGGAUAACUUCGGGAAACCGGAGCUAAACCGGAUACUUAUAGAUGGAUCCGCGCUGCAUUAGCUAGUUGGUAAGGUAACGGCUUACACAGGGAACGAUGAAUAGCCGACCUAAGAGGGGAACCGGCAACACGGGAACUGAAACACGUACAAGACACCACCGGGAGAGAGAAGUAGUGAAUCUUGCGAAAUGAGCGAAAGCCGGACGGAGCAACCACGGGUGAGUGAUCAAGGGCUGCGGAUCGUAAAACUCUGUGAUUAGGAAACCGGUACCUAAUCAGAAAGCCACGGCUAACUACGUGCCAGCAGCCGCGGUAAUAC
rnacentral:rRNA from 1 species